rnacentral:rRNA from 1 species
AGCUCCAAUAGCGUAUAUUAAAGUUGUUGCGGUUAAAAAGCUCGUAGUUGGAUUUCUGUUGAGGAUGACCGGUCCGCUCUCUGGGUGUGCAUCUGGCUCAGCCUUGACUGACAUCUUCCUGAAGAACGUAUCUGCACUUGACUGUGUGGUGCGGUAUUCGGGGCAUUUACCUUGAGGAAAUUAGAGUGUUUCAAGCAAGCGCACGCUUUGAAUACAUUAGCAUGGAAUAAAAAGAUAGGACCUCAGUUCUAUUUUGUUGGUUUCUAGAGUUGAGGUAAUGGUUGAUAGGGAUAGUUGGGGGCAUUCGUAUUUAACUGUCAGAGGUGAACUUCUUGGAUUUGUUAAAGACGAACUACUGCGAAAGCAUUUGCCAAGGAUGUUUUCA